rnacentral:rRNA from 1 species
UACGUAGGCAGCGCGCGUUGUUCGGAGUUACUGGGCGUAAAGGGUGUGUAGGCGGUUGUUUAAGUUUGGUGUGAAAUCUCCCGGCUCAACUGGGAGGGUGCGCCGAAUACUGAAUGACUCGAGUGCGGGAGAGGAGAGUGGAAUUCCUGGUGUAGCGGUGAAAUGCGUAGAUAUCAGGAGGAACACCGGUGGUGUAGACGGCUCUCUGGACCGUAACUGACGCUGAGACACGAAAGCGUGGGGAGCAAACAGG